UCCGGUGUGGUGUAGUGGUUAACAUCGCUGUCUUUCAUUACGUUUGAUUUGCACAGUAGCCCGGGGUUCGAUUCCCCGCUCCGGAA